rnacentral:rRNA from 1 species
CCUACGGGAGGCAGCAGUGAGGAAUCUUGGUCAAUGGGCGCGAGCCUGAACCAGCCAAGUCGCGUGAAGGAUGAAUGCCCUACGGGUUGUAAACUUCUUUUAUAAAGGAAUAAAGUGAGGCACGUGUGCCUUUUUGUAUUUACUUUAUGAAUAAGGAUCGGCUAACUCCGUUCCAGCAGCCGCGGUAAUACGGAGGAUCCGAGCGUUAUCCGGAUUUAUUGGGUUUAAAGGGAGCGGAGAUGGGUUGUUAAGUCAGUUGUGAAAGUUUGCGGCUCAACCGUAAAAUUGCAAUUGAUACUGGCAGUCUUGAGUACAGUUGAGGUAGGUGGAAUUCGUGGUGUAGCGGUGAAAUGCUUAGAUAUCACGAAGAACUCCGAUUGCGAAGGCAGCUUACUAAACUGCCACUGACACUGAUGCUCGAAAGUGUGGGGAUCAAACAGGAUUAGAUACCCUGGUAGUC